UACGGGGGGGGCAAGCGUUGUUCGGAAUUACUGGGCGUAAAGGGCCAGUAGGCGGCCAACUAAGUCCGACGUGAAAUCCCCAGGCUUAACCUGGGAACUGCGUCGGAUACUGGAUGGCUUGAAUUCGGGAGAGGGAUGCAGAAUUCCAGGUGUAGCGGUGAAAUGCGUAGAUAUCUGGAGGAAUACCGGUGGCGAAGGCGGCAUCCUGGACCGAUAUUGACGCUGAACGGCGAAAGCUAGGGGAGCAAACGGG
rnacentral:rRNA from 1 species